UGGGAGGUGGCUGAGAUGGAGAAGCGCCGGUCUUUGAAAUCGGAUGACGUUGGUUCAAGUCCAACCCUCCCAGCCA
rnacentral:tRNA from 1 species